rnacentral:tRNA from 1 species
GCCGAUGUGGCUCAGGGGUAGAGCACUCCCUUGGUAAGGGAGAGGUCGUGGGUUCGAUUCCCACCAUCGGCACCA